CCUGUUCUCUCCACUGCUCAGUUCUUGGCUGAUCAGCUUUAUUGACAAAGCAGAAAACAGACGGGGAGCAAUGUUUGCACACACUCCAGACAGGACGUUCUUACAGUAAGCAUUCCAGUGCCACGCCCAGUUUAAAACCAGAUGUGCAGAGGCGAGAAAUCGUCAUUUGAGUGACACAAAGGUAAUCUUUACACGGUGCACAAUGACAGUUGUGCUAACAAAGCUGACAAGAGGUGGACGUGUGGUGGCCAGGCUUACAUGCCAACUGGACUGCAUCUGGAGUUAACCCCAACAUGGAGGGAACAUCUGUGACAGGAUUUGCUCAGUUUGAAGUGUGAAAAAUCAACUUCUAUAUGGAUUUUGUGGUAGGAAGAUACAUUUUAAUCCAGAGUAUCUGAGAUGGAGACCCCCACCCUAAAAUGUACCACACCUUCCGGUGGACGCUACAUAAGGACACGGAUGAAGGAAGCCUUUGCUCUUUGCCUGCUGCUCUGCCCUGCUGGGAAGUUCCUUUCUUCACUGACUUGAGCGCCUACGUCUUUGGGGUGGUAGCUUACACUGAAGGGCAGCUGAGGCGUCCAGCCUUGUGCACUGAGCAUCUACUGAAUUCUUGGAGUUUCUAUUCAUCGUCAGCCAUUGCUGAGUUAUCUGGACCACAGACUGUAAGACAUUAUCAUACAUCAAAUGUAUUAUAUUAUAUAUAACAUAUAAAUGUUCGUUCUAUACAUUCUGUUACUCUUGAGACAUGGCUAAUACACAGACCCAGCAAGGCCAGGAAGCACUGGUCUGCCCUGUGGUGAACAGAAA
rnacentral:lncRNA from 1 species